UGUGUGAUGAUGAGAAGCGCAGGGGUACGGACCUCAGCCGCUCAUGGGGGCUGAGUGUUGCCGCAUUCGCUCCUCCAGAAGACAUGUGGUCUACUGGAGGACGGGCGGCGACACGAAACAGACGCUUGUCUGAACGCU